AAAUAUAUUAGUUCGCAUUAAUUUCCCUAAUAACAAAUAAACUUACGUUUCAGCAGAACACAGCAGCAGCUAGUAACGAGGGCAGCAGUGAAACAGACUUAGAAGAUGUAAGAAGUCAGGACACAGCAGUAGCUAGUAACGAGAGCAGCAGAGAACCAGACAAUAGGAAUGCAGUCAAUUUAUUUGUGUAUUUUUUAUUCUUUAGCAUGAUUAUUAUUGGAUCAACACUGUUGCCUUUGACUUUAUUGGUUGGUUUUUCUUUCUGGCUGGAUAGUGAGAGUGUUGAAGUCACAAGUUUUUUCCAGGCUUUCAGAUUAUUUAAUGAAAAUUAGUUGUGGUGAUUAAAAUGAUUUUUACGAAUUACUUGUAUUUUACAGAAAACGUAGCAUACGAGAAUGAAUAUUAUGUAAGUAAUUUAGCAAACAAAUGACUUAUGACUUAUAUAAUGGUAAAAA